GCGGGUGCUAAUAUCAUCUGCGCUUGACGGUACCCUCRAAGGAAGCACCGGCUAACUCCGUGCCAGCAGCCGCGGUAAUACGGAGGGUGCGAGCGUUGUUCGGAAUUAUUGGGCGUAAAGCGCGUGUAGGCGGUUUGAUAAGUCUGAUGUGAAAGCCCCGGGCUCAACCCGGGAAGUGCAUUGGAAACUGUCAGACUUGAAUACGGGAGAGGGCAGUGGAAUUCCUAGUGUAGGAGUGAAAUCCGUAGAUAUUAGGAGGAACACCGGUGGCGAAGGCGGCUGCCUGGACCGAUAUUGACGCUGAGACGCGAAAGCGUGGGGAGCAAACAGGAUUAGAUACCCUGGUAGUCCACGCCGUAAACGAUGAGUACUAGGUGUUGCGGGUAUUGACCCCUGCAGUGCCGCAGCUAACGCAUUAAGUACUCCGCCUGGGAAGUACGGCCGCAAGGCUAAAACUC
rnacentral:rRNA from 1 species